rnacentral:rRNA from 1 species
UACGUAGGGAGCGAGCGUUGUCCGAAGUUACUGGGCGUAAAGCGCGCGUCGGCGGGUUUGACAGUCGGAGGUGAAAUGCUGGGGCUCAACUCCAUGCAGUGCCUCCGAUACUUCAAGUCUUGAGUGCGGUAGGGAGAAGUGGAAUGGCUGGUGUAGCGGUGAAAUGCGUAGAUAUCAGUCGGAACACCGGUGGCGAAGGCGGCUUCUUGGGCCGUUACUGACGCUGAGGCGCGAAAGCCAGGGGAGCGAACGGG